UGAAUUGAGUAGAAUUAACUCUGGCGCAAAAAUUCACACUGUCCAUAGAGUAAAUUAUACUCUAAUUUUGAGUGGGACCAAAUGUUAUCUGAAAGAGAGUUAAAUUCAACUUUCUAAAAGUUAAAUUGACAUUGUUUUUAACUGUGUACAUUUAUACAAUAUUU